CCCUUCGGGGGUACACGAGCGGCGAAAGGGAGAGUAACGCGUGGACAACCUACCCCCGGGUCCGGGACAGCUGCGGGAAACUGCAGGUAAUACCGGAUAACAUCUCCGGAUCAAAGGUGUGAUUCCGCCUGGGGACGGGUCCGCGUCCUAUUAGCUUGUUGGUGAGGUAACGGCUCACCAAGGCGACGAUGGGUACCGGGCGUGAGAGCGUGACCCGGCUCACUGGGACUGAGACACUGCCCAGACACCUACGGGUGGCUGCAGUCGAGAAUCUUCGGCAAUGGGCGCAAGCCUGACCGAGCGACGCCGCGUGUGGGAUGAAGGCCUUCGGGUUGUAAACCGCUGUCAGUUGGGAGGAAAUGCAUAGGGGCACUCUCCUAUGUUUGACCUAUCUUCAGAGGAAGGACGGGCUAAGUUCGUGCCAGCAGCCGCGGUAAGACGAACCGUCCAAACGUUAUUCGGAAUUACUGGGCUUAAAGGGUGCGUAGGCGGCCUGGCAAGUUGGGUGUGAAAUCCCUCGGCUCAACCGAGGAAUUGCGCCCAAAACUGUCAGGCUCGAGGGAGGCAGAGGUGAGCGGAACUUAGGGUGGAGCGGUGAAAUGCGUUGAUAUCUAUCGGAACGCCGAAGGAGAAAUCAGGCGACUGGNCCUGUCCUGACGCUGAGGUACGAAAGCGUGGGGA
rnacentral:rRNA from 1 species